GUAGGUGGCAAGCGUUGUCCGGAAUUAUUGGGCGUAAAGCGCGCGCAGGUGGUUCUUUAAGUCUGAUGUGAAAGCCCCCGGCUCAACCGGGGAGGGUCAUUGGAAACUGGGGAACUUGAGUGCAGGAGAGGAAAGUGGAAUUCCACGUGUAGCGGUGAAAUGCGUAGAUAUGUGGAGGAACACCAGUGGCGAAGGCGACUUUCUGGCCUGUAACUGACACUGAGGCGCGAAAGCGUGGGGAGCAAACAGGGAUUAGAUACCCUGGUAGUCCACGCCGUAAACGAUGAGUGCUAAGUGUUGGGUGGUUUCCGCCCCCUCAGUGCUGCAGCUAACGCAUUAAGCACUCCGCCUGGGAGUACGGUCGCAAGACUG
rnacentral:rRNA from 1 species